rnacentral:sRNA from 1 species
AAACAAAACACGUCGGGGAAACCAGACCGCCGCGGAGAGGGACAGCGCCCAGCGAAAGCGAGGCUGAUGGAGCCAAGCCAGGAAGAGGACGCGGAGACGCGGGGGUCUGUCUGGCUAUGUUGUCCAGGCUGGCCUCCAACUCCUGAGCUCAAGCCAUCCUCCUGCCUCAGCUUUCUGAGUAGCUGAGACUACAGUUGUUGUGGAAGAUAAAGCCCAGCCUGACAUAUGCUCUUUCAAAGGAAGUUCUCAGGAAUAUCCUGUAUAUGGCACCAGACCUCAGACAAUUCAGGUAGACAAAAACCCUCAUGUGUAUCACAGCUACAUAAUGCUAGAACAAAAUAUUGAAUAUUCAAGCUCAGAGUAUUUUUUAGAGGCUUUCUGCUUUUCCCUUAUUUAUAGGUUUGGCUUUUUCCUGAUGUUCUAUCAGUGACUGGAAAUUGUAUUAGUCCCUUCUCAUGCUGCUAUAAGGACAUACCCAAGACUGGGUAAUUUCUAAAGUAAAGAGGUUUAAUUGACUGACAGUUCUGCAUGGCUGCUGA